GGCAGGGGGCGUUGCUGCUGGAAGGAUUUAAGCGAACAGCACAGGGCUGAUGGGAUUCUUUUUCUCCGGUUUCCCGUUGGGCUGGCCGAGUCUUCUCCUGCAAUGGGACAACGGAACGGCUGGCAGCACGGCUCCUAUAUAAUAGGCGAGGAUGGCAACCUGUUCAGGUACAUACCCCCAGGCAGAGGAGGACGGCAGAGUGUGAACGACCAGUCGACACCUUUUGCCGGUUCGGAUUUCCCGCUCAACGAAGCAACAUGAAACCUACACGCUAAUAUUACCGAGCCCCUUCAAGGAAAGUGCGCCCUCUUCCGGCCGCACUUAACAGGCUUCGCUCCUGUGACACUGGCGAGGGAACAGGGCCAGUACGAAAUUGAAGGCUUGCCACCUUCAAGACACUAACGAAGGGGUGAACGACUUUCAGCCUGCCCAUCGGGACCAGUAUAUUCUUUCCGGUCGCUAUGUCAUGGUACAGCACCCAAAAAAUCAAGCGAUAGGAGACCGAAGCCCUUGCGGAAGGUAGAGUCGGCCAGGUCCCCCCCUCCCCCUUUUCGGGGAUUAACAGUGCGGGACCGAGGAACAGAGGCGCCUGCUGUACCCCUGUGAAAUCCACCGCACGGUUCACUGCGGUAGACCCCCUUUCCUGGACAAAGGUGGAGACGUUCCGAGAAGCCGGGACUACGGGAACAGAUGUGGCAGUGGCUAUCCUACAGCGGCACCUCCGGAACCUCUUCAGAGGGUACGAGACCCCUUCGAUGUCCUCGGACUGCCUAGUCAUGCUCUAUAUUAGUCUCGAGCGUUAUAAACUUACGAGCAGAGAAGUAUUGGUACUCAAGAACCCGGGCUUGAUAACUGCGCACGGUUUUGGUAUUUGGAGGCAUCUGUUGAAACGUAUGUUCCCGCCUGUUUUAUUUUUUCCUGUUUGGUUGGCCGAAAUAAAGACUGCAGAGCUACGUUUGGUUAGUAAGUUCAAUAAAGUUUUUGUGUUGCAUUUGC